rnacentral:miRNA from 1 species
AAUCGUCGUUCGGGAUCCGC